rnacentral:rRNA from 1 species
UGGGGAAUUUUGCACAAUGGGGGCAACCCUGAUGCAGCGACGCCGCGUUAUUUAGAAGGCCUUCGGGUUGUAAAAAUCUUUUGUAUGGGAAGAAAAUGACAGUACCAUACGAAUAAGGACCGGCUAAUUACGUGCCAGCAGCCGCGGUAAUACGUAAGGUCCGAGCGUUGUCCGGAAUCAUUGGGCGUAAAGGGUACGUAGGCGGAUAAGCAAGUUAGAAGUGAAAUCCUAUAGCUCAACUAUAGUAAGCUUUUAAAACUGCUCAUCUUGAGGUAUGGAAGGGAAAGUGGAAUUCCUAGUGUAGCGGUGAAAUGCGCAAAUAUUAGAGGGAAAACCGGUGGAGAAGGCGACUUUCUGGCCAUAAACUGACGCUGAGAUACGAAAGCGUGGGUAGCAAACAGG